CAGCAGCCGCGGUAAUACGUAGGGUGCAAGCGUUAAUCGGAAUUACUGGGCGUAAAGCGUGCACAGGCGGUUAUGCAAGACAGAUGUGAAAUCCCCGGGCUCAACCUGGGAACUGCAUUUGUGACUGCAUGGCUGGAGUGCGGCAGAGGGGGAUGGAAUUCCGCGUGUAGCAGUGAAAUGCGUAGAUAUGCGGAGGAGCACCGAUGGCGAAGGCAAUCCCCUGGGCCUGCACUGACGCUCAUGCACGAAAGCGUGGGGAGCAAACAGGAUUAGAUACCCUGGUAGUCCACGCCCUAAACGAUGUCAACUGGUUGUUGGGAGGGUUUCUUCUCAGUAACGUAGCUAACGCGUGAAGUUGACCGCCUGGGGAGUACGGCCGCAAGGUUGAAACUCAAAUGAAUUGACGGCA
rnacentral:rRNA from 1 species